ACCCCUUUUGCAUCAGUCUCUAUGCGGGCCCACCCCUCGCCACGUAUAGGCUGCUUGGGACUGCCUACCGCCCCUUUGUACUGCGGGUUUUACCACUCACUGUUACGGAGCCCGUCCUUCUCCAAUCGGGAUAGUAGAGCUGUUCUCUGCCGCACCCCAGGGCGUCACCGAGGGUGAGUCUUUCUGCACUCCGCAGCCGCAGCCAGCCUCCUCUGGUCCUCCCACUAUAUCGGGUGGUUUCACUUUCCCCAAGUUUACCGGGGCCACGCGGACGUCACCGGAGGCAGGGAUCAGGCAGAGCACAAAGGCAGGUGGCAGGACCUGCACAAGAAGCUUCCUCCCCCUCUCAACCACCCUCCCCCCAUCAAUCAUCUUCCCCCUCUCAACCACCCUUCCCCCAUCAAUCUGCCUUCUACUCCUCCUCCUCUCAAGCUGCUGCCCCGCAUCAAUCAGUCUCCUCCUCCCCCUCUCAACCACCCUCCCCAUCAAUCUGUCCCCUCCUCCUCUUAACCACCCUCCCCAAUCAAAACACCCUUGACAUUCCCACACUCUCACAAUCAGAUCCUCCUUCCCCAUCCAAGCUCCAACACCCUUACAAGACCCUACCCCCAUCCAAACUACCACCCCCUUUCCAGACCCUUCCCCCAUCCAAACUACCACCCCCUUUCAAGACCCUUCCCCCAUCCAAAGUUCCACACCCGCUUCUGAUGUGGACGAAGGAGUGUGGGCAGCUGAGGCACCGGAGGGAGUUGAGGGUGAUUUUCUGGCCUUGGUGGAAAAUGCUGCGGUUGGAGAUCUCAAUGUGGAAAUGUGGCGACUGGUUUCCAGGAUGGAGAUACAUUGCCGGGGGCUCCUGGAUGGAAUAAUUAGU